ACACUCCUGCGGGAGGCAGCAGUGGGGAAUAUUGCACAAUGGGCGCAAGCCUGAUGCAGCGACGCCGCGUGGGGGAUGAAGGCCUUCGGGUUGUAAACUCCUUUCGCUAGGGACGAAGCUUUUUUGUGACGGUACCUAGAUAAGAAGCACCGGCUAACUACGUGCCAGCAGCCGCGGUAAUACGUAGGGUGCGAGCGUUGUCCGGAAUUACUGGGCGUAAAGGGCUCGUAGGUGGUUUGUCGCGUCGUCUGUGAAAUUCUGGGGCUUAACUCCGGGCGUGCAGGCGAUACGGGCAUAACUUGAGUGCUGUAGGGGUAACUGGAAUUCCUGGUGUAGCGGUGAAAUGCGCAGAUAUCAGGAGGAACACCGAUGGCGAAGGCAGGUUACUGGGCAGUUACUGACGCUGAGGAGCGAAAGCAUGGGUAGCGAACAGGAUUAGAUACCCGUGUAGUCCCA
rnacentral:rRNA from 1 species